AUGCCGAAGCAUAUGCCGAAGGAAGGCGUCGCCGGCGACGGCUCCAAGACCGCCGGGCAGAGCUCGGUUGAGGACACCCGUGCGGCGGACGCGCUUGCGCUGCGAGGCAGGCCGGGAGGUGAGCUGGGUGCGCCACGCUCCGUGCGAGACGUGGGCAUAUCCAGUACCUCCUUCCCUCUCCUCACGCGGACCAACUACCCCAGUUGGUCCGUCAUGAUGAAAGUCAUCAUGGAGGCGUGGCAUAUGUGGAAAGCCGUGGAAACCGGCGAUGUCGAGUACGAGGAGGACCGGCUGGCGAUGGAAGCGAUCUUGCGCUCCGUCCCAGAGGAGAUGGUGCUCACCCUUGGCGCCAAGGAGACGGCCAAGGAAGCAUGGGAGACCAUCAAGACUCUGCGCAUCGGCGUGGAGCGUGUACGGGAUUCGAAGGCCCAGACCUUGCGCCUCCAGUACGAGGAAAUCCGGUUCAAGGCCGGUGAACAAGUCGACGACUUCGCCUUGCGGCUGCAAGGUCUCGUCAACGAGCUCGCAACGCUCGGAGAUCACAUCAACAACAAGAUGGUGAUUCUCAAGUUCCUCCGCGUCAUCCCCAGGCAGUACAAGCAACUGGCCUGGUCCAUUGAGAGUUUGGUGGAUCUCUCCACCAUGACGAUCGAGGAGCUGGUAGGGCGGCUGAAGGUCGUCGAGGAGCGCGGCGACGAAGCCGACAACCAUGCUGGCGGCGAACUACUGCUCACCAGGGAGCGGUGGGACGCGCAGCUUCAGCAGCGCGGCCGCGAUGGCUCUUCCAGCAGUGGGGGAGGCGCCCCCACGGGAAGCAGAGGUCGCGGCACAGGCGGAGGCCGCACCCAGAGUGGUGGCGGCAACCGCGGUCGCAAGCCAAGCCGGGCAGGGAGAGGCGCUGGCAACGGUGGCAAGUGCCGCUACUGCGACAUGCCGGGUCACUGGAUCCGGGAUUGCCACAAGAGGAAAACCAGGAAGGAACUUCUANNNNNNNNNNNNNCCCCCCGCCCCCCCGCGUCGCCCCCGCCCGGGCGACUCGGGCGGGAUCCCAACCCUAGCCGCCGGGGCUCCCCCUCCUUCCAUCCCUCCCUCCGCCGCCGCCGAAGGACGCCGCCGGCCUUUUGCCCGGGGGCUGACGGUGGUGGCGGGGGCCUUUCCUCUCUCCCGCGCCAUGGGGACGGUGCGGAGCUCCGCGGCGUGAGGUGGCACGGCCGAUCUGGCCUCCGUGGCGUGGCGGGCCUGCCUUGA
rnacentral:rRNA from 1 species